UACGGGGGGGCAAGCGUUGUUCGGAAUUACUGGGCGUAAAGGGUGCGUAGGCGGCUUUCUAAGUCGAUGUGAAAACUCUGGGCUCAACCCAGAGCCUGCAUCCGAAACUGGAGAGCUAGGGUUCGUGGAGGGGAAAGCGGAAUUCCUGGUGUAGCGGUGAAAUGCGUAGGAUAUCAGGAGGAACACCGGUGGCGAAGGCGGCUUUCUGGACAGAUACCGACGCUGAGGCACGAAAGCUAGGGGAGCAAACAGG
rnacentral:rRNA from 1 species